AGAAAAAAGAAGCUUGGAAGUGGUUUUGAGAUGGUAAGCUCCCUUCCAGAGUUCAACAACUUCUAUCUCUACUGUUAGUUUUGAGAACAAGAUGGUUAAUCCUUGAGAAAUAAUAUUUUUUAAUUCAAAUUCUUCUUGCAGUUUCAAAUAAUAUAGUUCAUUCUUCACUGUCCUAAAYCUGGUUCUGUGAGAGUAAGAGUAUAGUCUCACCCCUCUCUCAUUGACAUCAAUAAGUGGGGGAGCUGGUCUGUGAUGAUUUGUAUACCCUUUAAGUUUUGCAAAGUAAUGGAAUUACUUGGGGACCUUUCAUGAUGUAAAGAACUAAAUCAACGUAAUCAAUGAUCACAUUUAUUGCAGUCUUACCAAGUAACCACUCAGGAAUGGGCCACGUCACAGAAGGCGUUGUACGUCACUAGCUAGCAGGCAGACGUUACUUUGGGAAAGUAGAGCACUAUGACUUAGUCAUCAUUUCAGUGAUAGAUUGGUAACCUGAUACGUCAUUACCCUGGAAAAAGACUCAUACCAUUCAGAAGGUGAAAUUCUCAGUUAGAUUACCCAAGAGAUAUUCCUUCCUGGAAAAGGAAAUAGGACAGAGAUACAUAGCUAUUUUUCAAUCCCUUCAUUUACAUGGAAUUAUUUCAAGUAAACAUCUGGACGGUUUGCAGGACAUUAACUUCUCUCCAGCACCUUGGCUGACACGGAUCCUAUCCAAGCAUUACCAUGCAAWGUCAUGAGGAAAUAAUUUCCAUUUAUGAAAAUGAAAUGAAAUGAAAUGAAAUUUAUUCUUCUUUGAGAUAAAAGCAGUCAAACAUGAAGGUUCACCAUACAGCUUUUACACUGAGGUAAGAAUUCCCAUAGCAAGUGGCAUUUUGGUCUGUUUAUGAAAUAACCUUACUUUAAAGUAGUAAUUUAUUGUUGAGAAGAAAGGAAACAAUUACAACAGUCUCUCACUGUGGUACAAGUAUAUUCAUGCUUUUUCUGCCUUCUGACUGCAAAGACAAUAUUUACAUAUGCAUACAUAUCAUAUCAUGUA
rnacentral:lncRNA from 1 species